UUACAAUAUUAUAAAAUAGGUGAUAAUAGUUUUUCCUAUUCAAUCUUAGAUUUUUUUUUUUAAUUUAUAACAGUACUAUAUCAUAGUAAACUUCUUAUUUUGACCACCUCAAUCAAUUUAUAAAAAUAGAAUUGUUAUUUCACAGGAAAUAUAAUUUCACAUGAUACCAACCAUACCUAUUGAAAAGUUAAUAAUUAAUAUUUUAAUAGCCGAAAAUUGCUGUACUAUGGUUUAUCUGUGUAUUAUAAAAUCAGUGGUUAUAACUUAUAAGUAUCAGUUAUCUAUUAGUUACAUGAUAUGCAUAAUAUUACUAUUGAAAAAUGGGUAUUUUGGAUGAUCUGAAUAAUAAGUAUGUUAAAGAAAGUGUAAAGAUAUCUUAUUGACAUCGAUACAUAAACAGAUUUAAACACAAAAUACGAACAUAGUCAAUUAUUUUCAAUUCUUUUGUCAGAAAUUAGAUUAACUGGCAUGGAUAUAAAUAUCAUUGGUGAAGAUCCACACAAGCUCAAGGAGAUUGUUUGGUGGUGUAUUUUACAAAAUCUUUAGCAGACACAAUUGGCAUUCAAAUAUUAAUUCUACACUUUGAUGUAAAAGCAGACUUCAUUGAUAUCAUUAUGCCAAGCAUGAUAUGCUCAAUUUCAGGAAAUUUUUGGAAAACAAAACAAUUCUUAACGAUCAUGGAAUCUAAGAUAAAAGCAUAGCUUUGUUAGAAUCUAUCAAAUGCUUCUAUAUUGUCAAUAUUUUUCAUAUUUUGUUACAGGAAAAAUGAUAUUUUACAUUUCAUGUACUAUAAGUUGCUUUAAAUAUUAAAAUAUAGGUUUAAUAUAUGUUUAGCUUUUAAGUCACAAAUACAGGUAAAAGCAUAAAAUGUUUCCAUCAAAUGAGAUAUUGAUUGCUAUCCUUUAAACCAUUAAUUUCUAUUUAUAUAUUAUG